GACGAACGCUGGCGGCGUGCUUAACACAUGCAAGUCGAGCGGAAAGGCCCUUCGGGGUACUCGAGCGGCGAACGGGUGAGUAACACGUGAGUAACCUGCCCCAGACUUUGGGAUAACCCUCGGAAACGGGGGCUAAUACCGGAUACGACACAGCUUCGCAUGGGGUCUGUGUGGAAAGUUUUUCGGUUUGGGAUGGGCUCGCGGCCUAUCAGCUUGUUGGUGGGGUGAUGGCCUACCAAGGCGACGACGGGUAGCCGGCCUGAGAGGGCGACCGGCCACACUGGGACUGAGACACGGCCCAGACUCCUACGGGAGGCAGCAGUGGGGAAUAUUGCACAAUGGGCGGAAGCCUGAUGCAGCGACGCCGCGUGAGGGAUGACAGCCUUCGGGUUGUAAACCUCUUUCAGCAGGGACGAAGCGUAAGUGACGGUACCUGCAGAAGAAGCGCCGGCCAACUACGUG
rnacentral:rRNA from 1 species